CGGCACCGCCCAUAGCAACGCCUGCCCACCGACGGGAUGAACGGCACUCUGGAAAGAACUGUGUGUGGCACGAAGCGUGGACAACCAGAGGCAAUAUUCAUUUCUCCAUCAGGCCUUUUGAAACUGCUGCUAUUGGGGUCAGCUCUAAAGACUUCCACAAUGUGAUUUUUUUUCCCAGUUUGGUCCAAAAGCAUAAGUGUAACUUUCUGCUUGAAGGGCCAUGGCAACAGUGAGUCGAACUCGCCUCUCAUGACUACGAAGUAGAGUGAGACAUGUGUUCCCUUGCCUGAGCCGUCCCCAUUCAGAUAGGCUCUGGCACACAGCCUGUACCCACAGCGGCUGGUGUAGAAGGGCUGGCUGAAGAUGGAGAGGACACGACCUUCCACUGCUUCUUUUUUCUUCAUCUUAUAGUCUGUGAUUUUCCAAAUUAAUUUCCCAUUGUAGCAUGUGCCUUCCAAAAGCUUAAAUCGUUCUUCAUUCUUAUUGAGCUGUGCUUUGUGAAUAUUGAUCUGGAGAUCAUGUUUGCUGGACUGACUUUCCAAAACAGCUGGGAAAAAGUAAAAUAAAACUGUCAGACAUUGGACACAAAGAGCAGCCAGAUUUGAGCUGGCAGUACAUAAGAACAAUAUUGAGUACAGACUGUUAACUACAGCUGUUAACCUUUUUUUCUUCCAAUUCUAAUUGCAGCAGGUAGUUGAAUAAGGAAAAACGCUACCUGCAAGCCAGAUUUAGUGUCUGACUAGAGACAUAAUGACUGCUACCACCGCAGUGCCCCAGCCUCACCAAACCCAGCAUCUGCUGUGCCUCAGGAGUUAAGGAGUUGGGCCCUCUGGUGACACUGUGGAGUAAGGGAAGGUGGGAGGAUGUCUGAGGCAUGUACUACCACAGGUUGGUCAUAGAAAGCCCGGAGAAGAGAACCCGUUUUGGCUAAGAGUUGCAACUGACUGACUGCAGUACCAGAGCCUCUACUUAGCCACCACAACAUCAGCGAAGAUCCCAAACCCAUGCAGAAAAGAAGGAAGUCCCAACAUACGUACCUAAGCGCUGAUCAUAUGUCUCCAUAAGGGCAAUCUUCUGUUUUACAUUUUCAAUUGUGUCAAACAGGGGUCUCAAGUCUAAUUUACUUUGUUGCUGGUUUGCCAUCUGUAUUAGCUGUUUCACCUGCGAUUCCAGUCGUGCAGACUUAUCCAGAUGACUGGCAAGAGUCUUCCAGUCAGUGCCAUAGGAAGAAGUUGGGAAGCGGAGACAAGGACAUUUACAAAAUCAGCCAUUUCAUUGGAAAUAAAGAAGUCUUUAACAUGUGAGCAAUACUAACUACACAGUGCGAUCAAAAGUACUCUGUUGCCUUAGGAAUGCAUCCAGGUCAUCCCUCCUUUGGCAUUUACCGGCUGAGAAGCCAUCCCUCAAUUCAGAUCAGUUCAUGCUGCUUUAUCUCAUCUAACUGAUGAUUCAAAUUCACACCUUCCUAUUUUCCAUGGGGAUUUGGCCAUGAGGAUUUAUACAGUGCUUUUUGCCCUGAUUAGAUAUCCAAAUUUCUUUAUUUGUUACAACACCAUACUGUAACUGUAAAAAAGAAGGGCUUGGGACGUGUCUGGGAAACAGUAUUUGUUAUUGUCUUGCUAUUAGUGACAACUGGAUAAUCAUGCUUUAUACUGCAUGGUUUAAACUGCAAGAAUGCAAUUGGCCAAAAGGGUAAAAACCAAUGUGUCACUCACCUGUGUGCUUACCAUCAAAUUGCUAUUUUUACCAAACAGUUGUGUAAACUGUCUGAAUUCUUUCUCACACUUUUUAACAGCCUCUGCUAGCUGCUGGAUUUUAAUCUCUUUACAUUCCAGGCUCUUGUACAGGUCAGAUAUCUACAGAUGGAAAAGUACAGAGUAAAAGCUCCAUGCACAACCAAAAUGCACCGGGAUUAAAUUAAAACAUGUUAUGGUGCAGGAGAAAGCAGAAAAGUUUACAGUGUAAAACCGCUAACUUAGCUGGAUAAUUCAAAAAUCAGGGAUACGCGCUGUCAAAUACUGACGUCCCCGCAUCUUAAGUCUGACUUGUUAUUGCCCAGCUUGCAAAGUGAGAUUUUUAUAAGCCACGGUAUUAACUUGGAAGUGGGCAGGAGGCUCUGCACUGCUCUGUGCCACCUCUGCAGAGGGGAUGACUUCAGCACCCCAAGGCUCCUUUUCAAGGCAAUCUGACUGGCCCCCGAAACCUUCAAAUGCUCUAUCCACAAACGUGGCAUCAGUUGUGAGAGUUCAAAAGCAAAUGAUGUAAGUGAUGGCAACAAGGCUCCCAUUGUGCCUGAUGGAGAAUACACAUGCCUGAGCACAGACAAGUUUCCAGCUAAUUGCCUGACUUCACUAGAAGAGCAUAUUCUGACUUCUGAGUGCUGACUCAAAUGGUCUUUCAAAUCUUUCCGAAGGAUUUGAUCACAACAUCCAUCAUUAGUGCAUUGCACGCUUUCAAACAAACACUGCUGAAGAUGUUCCUGCAACACAUAAAAGCAAAUUAAAC
rnacentral:lncRNA from 1 species